GUAACGCGUAUGCAACUUGCCCUUAACAGGAGGAUAGCUCAGGGAAACCUGGAUUAAUACUCCAUAGUCUUAUUUUGUUUCAUGACAGAAUAAGUAAAACUUCGGUGGUUAAGGAUAGGCAUGCGUGACAUUAGCUAGUUGGUGAGGUAAGGGCUCACCAAGGCGACGAUGUCUAGGGGUUCUGAGAGGAUGAUCCCCCACACUGGUACUGAGACACGGACCAGACUCC
rnacentral:rRNA from 1 species